GUCUUUCAUUCCAGAGCCAAUGAGCCACUCAGUCAUGCAAGGUCCUCAUCGAAGAAGUCUGUCUGGACAUUACCCUGGGCCUCCUGAGUAAAGGGGAAGUCUUCCCUCAGGAAAAGUCUCCUUUGUUUCCCAGCUUGUCACAUCUUUUUCUCAAAGACAUCCCGGAACUUAUAUCUUUUGGGAGACUGGCUGCCUCAGAAGGCUUCUCAGUGUCUGUCUUGGGAGCAAAUGGAUCAGAUUUCAUUUUGAUAUCAGUAUCAGAGAAGCCCCCUUUCUCCUUCAGCUUCUCUUUAUCGGCAUUUGUUUGUUUCUGUUGCUUAUCCUUCCCAUUCUUUAUCUUCUGCUCUUCCAGAUACCUUUUUGAGGAUGCUGUUCUUCCUGAAGCAGCACUCUCCUCUUUCUGAGAUGAACUACAUACAGAGCUAGUGACUGGUGGACUCUUACCUACAGGGUUCUUUUUGGAUGGACUCAAAGACCCAGAGCCAUGGUCGAACUGACCUUGGUGUGCUCUAGACUGAUACCCAGUACCACUUGACAUAGAUGAGCCUACCUGGGAAGCAUUAGAAAGUGGAGGACUAGGUUUUGGCCCAGGGCUAGGGCCUAGUGGCCUUAACCUAACCACCACAGACUGGAGGGGGGGUAUUGAGAGUUGGACUUCUCUCUCCAGGGACCUAGAUCAGACAUGGAGGCCUGUGAUACAUAACUAGUGUCAUAGGUGUUACCACCUGCCCAUGUCUUUUUGCUCUCAGACCAUUUUAUAUCUUGAGAGGUUCGUCCAGAGAAUGUCUGCCUUAACCUCAUCUCCCUGGUUAUCACCAGCUGCCUAAGAUGGCCGGCUAUCCUUGGAAAAGGGCUUUUUAUCUUUUGUAGACUUUAGCUUAGAUGACUCAACUCUGCUGUGGUUAGAGGAUGACCAGGAGGAUGAGGAACAUCUUGACCUGUCAGAGGAUGACUUAUCAGAGUCCUAGAAUGACUUCUGGACUGUGAUGAAGGGGACCUUCUCUUUGGGAACCAGGAUGAGAAUGACUAGGGCUGUAUGCUUGCCUGUAGCUCUGCCAGUUGGGGCGGUAGUUUCCAUAGCCACCUCACUUUUACUGGCUCCAUGAAUAAAACCCUGGGUUUCACCCACGGAAGUAUCAGGGCCUCCUGUAACCUCUGUUGUGACCUCAGAAAUCUCGAUUCUGAUAUACUCUGGGGUGAUUCCUAUGUCUGUUAUGACCUACAGAAUAUGAUCUGGAACUAGACCUAGAACACAGCCUGUGCCUCCUUGGAUGAGAGACAGAUCAUCUUCAGGAACCAGACUUUGGACAUGAAUAAGUCCAAGAUCUGGAUGCGGACCUUGAGUGAGAAGAGUGAGACCCAGACUUGGAUGUGUUUAUUUUUGACAUCUUGGAAGAGUUUACACCUUGACUAGUGAAAACUACUACAGCUGCAGUCUGGCACAACCAGCCCCAACCAAGAUGUCCCACAAAAGAAGAAUGGACAGAGAAAAUGUGGUUCAUAUACUCAAUGGAAUACUACUCAUCUAUUAAGAAUGCAGGCAUCCUGAAUUUUGCAGGCAAAUUUAUGGAACUAGAAAAUAUCAUCCUGAAUGAGGUAACCUGUCAUACCACCUCCAGCAGGAGCUGUGUGACAAGAUCCACAGACUGAGUCGAUUGACAUCAAAAGGGGGAGGCCUCCUGAAACCAGUUGUGAAACUCUUCACUCUUUGCUGGAGAAAAAAAAAUAUUGAGCUGUAGUUCUCAUGGCAAUCUAUCUGUUUUCUUUUCUCUUAUUCCUUUUCUUUUUUACAUUUUCUUGGUAGCCUAGGCCACGAUCUUAAGCAAGAACAAUGGGUAAGAAACCCUCCCUAGAAAUGGGGCCACUAACAUGACCUUAUCCCCAGGGAAACCAACACUUUACUUUCUAAAUCAUUUACAAAACUUAUGAAAAAAACUUCCCCAACAAUAAAAUUUCAUAUGGUGACACGUAUGUCAUCAGAGGUGGAUUUUGGCAUAUGGUAAAGAAAGCCUUAAUUAGAAAGAAUUAAAAUAGUUUAAAUCUAUACAUUGAAGAUUUAUAUACAAAACAAAACAAAACAAAACAAAACAAAACAAAACAAAAAACAUAGGCACUAGAUGUUAAAUAAUAAUUGACCAUGGGACUGGAAAGUUAGUUCAGUAUUUAAGAGCACUGACCAUUAAAGAUUUAUUAACAUGCUCCUGGAAAUAUGCCACUAGCCUUGGAUGACAGUUCCCACUGAAUACAUCCUUUUAGAAUUGUUAUAUUUUGAUGUUUUAUAAUGAUGUUACCUGUUCCUUUUGUGAUUCACUGAAUACAUUUGAUGGUAUUCAUGAUUCUCUCACUGGAUAUAGUUUCUAAGAUUUGUAAUGUUUGGUUUAUUUUAUUUUAUUUUAUUAGAUAUUUUUAUAUACAUUUCAAAUGGUAUCCCGAAAGUUCCCUGUACCUUCCCUCCACCCUGCUCCCCUAACUACCCACUCCUGCUUCUUGGCCCUGGCAUUCCCUGUACUGGGGCAUAUAGAGUUUGCAAUACCAAGGGGUCUCUCUUCCCAGUGAUGGCUGACUAGGCCAUCUUCUGCUACAUAUGUAACUAGAGAUAGGAGCUCUGGGGGGUAUUGGUUAGUUCAUAUUGGUGUUCCACGUAUAGAGUUGCAGACCCCUUCAGCUCCUUGGGUGCAUUCUCUAGCCUCUUCAUUGGGGGCCCUGUGUUCCAUCUUAUAGAUGACUGUGAGCAUCCACGUUUGUAUUUGCCAGGCACUGGCAUUGCCUCAUACAAGACAGCUAUAACAGGGUCCCUUCAGCAAAAUCUUUCUGACAUAUGCAAUAGUGUCUGGGUUUGGUGGCUGAUUAUGGGAUGGAUCCCUGGGUGGUGUAGUUUCUGGAUAGUCUAUCCUUUCAUCUUAGCUCCAAACUUUGUCUCUGUAACUCCUUUCAUUUGUAUUUUCUUCCCUAUUCUAAGGAGGAAUGAAGUGUCUGCCUAUUGGUCUUCCCUUUUCUUGAUUUUCUAAUGUUUGUUUUCUUAAUGUAUAAAAUCCUCUGCUGUGAGCUGCAAAAUACACUCAGAUUCAAACUGC
rnacentral:lncRNA from 1 species